AAACCGGAGCUAAUACCGGAUAAUAUGUUGAGCCGCAUGGUUCAAUAGUGAAAGAUGGUUUUGCUAUCACUUAUAGAUGGACCCGCGCCGUAUUAGCUAGUUGGUGAGGUAACGGCUCACCAAGGCAACGAUACGUAGCCGACCUGAGAGGGUGAUCGGCCACACUGGAACCGAGACACGGUCCAG
rnacentral:rRNA from 1 species